CUAACAUGUUUUCUUUAUAAUAACCAUGUUAGUCUUGCAUCAAUAGCACAAAAAUAAAGUACUAAGUGAGAUUCUACCGAAUGGCUUCUUAUCAUUCUCGAGUUUGGUGGAUUUUGUUCGUUGCUUUUGUUUUGUUUUCAGGAUUCACAACCAGUAUUGAUCCUCCAGGAUAUAAGUGCAAUAAGGAAUGCACAACUAAUGAAGCAUGCAAUAAGUUUUGCACGUUUUUUGGCCAUAAAAGUGGUUCAUGUCUAGAUCCCCAACCUAAGCGUUGUUGCUGUCAUACCUAAUGUUAUUGUACUCUUCAUUACAUCUUAAUGAAUAAAAUGCAUAUGAAUUGUUGGAAGGUUUUUAAAA